rnacentral:rRNA from 1 species
GCAGGCUGCAACUCGCCUGUAUGAAGUCGGAAUUGCUAGUAAUCGCGGAUCAGCAUGCCGCGGUGAAUACGUUCCCGGGCCUUGUACACACCGCCCGUCACACCAUGGGAGCCGGUAAUACCCGAAGUCAGUAGUCUAACCGCAAGGAGGACGCUGCCGAAGGUAGGAUUGGCGACUGGGGUGAAGUCGUAACAAGGUACC